rnacentral:rRNA from 1 species
ACUUUGAUUAUGGCUCAGGAUGAACGCUAGCUACAGGCUUAACACAUGCAAGUCGAGGGGCAGCAUAUCGGUAGCUUGCUACUGGUGAUGGCGACCGGCGCACGGGUGAGUAACGCGUAUCCAACCUUCCCAUGACUGGGGAAUAACCUUGCGAAAGUAAGACUAAUACCCCAUGGUUUCCGAGGCGGACAUCCAAUUUGGAAUAAAGAUUCAUCGGUCAUGGAUGGGGAUGCGUCUGAUUAGCUUGUUGGCGGGGUAACGGCCCACCAAGGCGACGAUCACUAGGGGUUCUGAGAGGAAGGUCCCCCACAUUGGAACUGAAACACGGUCCAAACUCCUACGGGAGGCAGCAGUGAGGAAUAUUGGUCAAUGGACGAGAGUCUGAACCAGCCAAGUAGCGUGCAGGAUGACGGCCCUAUGGGUUGUAAACUGCUUUUAUACGGGAAUAAAGUGGCUCACGUGUGGGUUUUUGUAUGUACCGUAUGAAUAAGGACCGGCUAAUUCCGUGCCAGCAGCCGCGGUAAUACGGAAGGUCCGGGCGUUAUCCGGAUUUAUUGGGUUUAAAGGGAGCGUAGGCCGCCGAUUAAGCGUGUUGUGAAAUGCCGCAGCUCAACUGUGGCACUGCAGCGCGAACUGGUUGGCUUGAGUGCGCGGAAGGCAGGCGGAGUUUGUGGUGUAGCGGUGAAAUG